AUCACAAUUUACAUAACUUGUUUUCUAGUAUUCACUUGUUGAUUUAUUUGGUAGAUGUUGAUUUUAAGUUAAAUAGACAAUAGACAAUAUUUAUUAGCACAAACACAUUUACAUUAAAUGGUUAUGGCAUACAGUAUUGAGACAAUAAACUGACAAUAGUUAAAUUGACUAACCCUAACCAUAGUUAAAGUAAAAUUUCAGAUAUUUGGGCAGGUCAGCUGAUUUGAACAGACUUAUAAAUAUAAAUAGUUCAGGGUUCAGAUAAGACCGGUUUAUCCAUUAAACAGCAGUUAACUUAAGGACAGAUUACAUUUAAUGAAGGGCCAGUUUACACAGGUUUUCACUUUAUUCAGUAUUCAGUUUUGAAAGGUGUCCUGUUUUACAGGGGCCAGUUUACACAGGUUUACAUUUUCUAGAGGUCAGUUUAGACAUGUUUACAAAAUGUUUAAAGAAUAUACAGGGUCAGUUUUAUAGAUAGGUAAAUGUUUAAUGAAAGGUUGAUGUUAAUUGUUUAGGAAGGGUCAGUUUAGAGACGUAAAUGUCAUAUGAAAGGUUGAUGUUAAUUGUUUAGGAAGGGGUCAGUUUAGAAAGGUAAAUGUCAUAUGAAAGGUUGGUGUUAAUUGUUUAGGAAGGGUCAGUUUAGAAAGGUAAAUGUCAUAUGAAAGGUUGAUGUUAAUUGUUUAGGAAGGGGUCAGUUUAGAAAGGUAAAUGUCAUAUGAAAGGUUGGUGUUAAUUGUUUAGGAAGGGUCAGUUUAGAAAGGUAAAUGUCAUAUGAAAGGUUGAUGUUAAUUGUUUCGGAAGGGGUCAGUUUAGACAGGUAAAUGUCAUAUGAAAGGUUGAUGUUAAUUGUUUAGGAAGGGGUCAGUUUAGAAAGGUAAAUGUCAUAUGAAAGGUUGAUGUUAAUUGUUUAGGAAGGGGUCAGUUUAGAAAGGUAAAUGUCAUAUGAAAGGUUGAUGUUAAUUGUUUAGGAAGGGGUCAGUUUAGAAAGGUAAAUGUCAUAUGAGAUGUUGAUGUUAAUUGUUUAGGAAGGGGUCAGUUUAGACAGGUAAAUGUCAUAUGACAGGUUGAUGUUAAUUGUUUAGGAAGGGGUCAGUUUAGAAAGGUAAAUGUCAUAUGAAAGGUUGGUGUUAAUUGUUUAGGAAGGGGUCAGUUUAGACAGGUAAAUGUCAUAUGAAAGGUUGAUGUUAAUUGUUUAGGAAGGGGUCAGUUUAGAAAGGUAAAUGUCAUAUGAAAGGUUGAUGUUAAUUGUUUAGGAAGGGGUCAGUUUAGAAAGGUUAAUGUCAUAUGAAAGGUUGAUGUUAAUUGUUUAGGAAAGGGUCAGUUUAGAAAGGUAAAUGUCAUAUGAAAGGUUGAUGUUUAUUGUUUAGGAAGGGGUCAGUUUAGAAAGGUUAAUGUCAUAUGAAAGGUUGAUGUUAAUUGUUUAGGAAGGGGUCAGUUUAGACAGGUUUACAUUUAUAUAAGGGUUAGU